rnacentral:rRNA from 1 species
GUGCCAGCAGCCGCGGUAAUACGAAGGGGGCUAGCGUUGCUCGGAAUUACUGGGCGUAAAGGGCGCGUAGGCGGCUCUGUCAGUCGGGCGUGAAAUCCCUGGGCUCAACCUGGGGGCUGCGCCCGAUACGGCGGGGCUAGAGGGCAGGAGAGGCUCGCGGAAUUCCCAGUGUAGAGGUGAAAUUCGUAGAUAUUGGGAAGAACACCGGUGGCGAAGGCGGCGAGCUGGCCUGUUACUGACGCUGAGGCGCGACAGCGUGGGGAGCAAACAGGAUUAGAAACCCCCGUAGUCC